rnacentral:tRNA from 1 species
GGGGUCCUAGUAAACAAAUUACAUAGCUCUGUCAGUGCUAAAUUAUAGGACCACACACCUAUGAACCCCA